rnacentral:rRNA from 1 species
UACAGAGGUCUCAAGCGUUGUUCGGAUUCAUUGGGCGUAAAGGGUGUGUAGGUGGCGCCGUAAGUCGGGUGUGAAAACUCGAGGCUCAACCUCGAGACGUCGGCGGAAACCAUCUGGCUAGAGUCCGGAAGAGGAGAGUGGAAUUCCUGGUGUAGCGGUGAAAUGCGCAGAUAUCAGGAAGAACACCCGUGGCGAAGGCGGCUCUCUGGGACGGUACUGACGCUGAGACGCGAAAGCGUGGGGAGCGAACAGG